GUUCGCUAAAACAAAUUCCAUAACAAUUAAUAAAUAUAUUUAGUUGUUAAAUUUAUUUGGAAAAAAGUUUAUUUUAAAAUCGAAUAUUCUAUAUCAGCAACGUAAAUCAUAAGAAUCGACAAUACCGACGGUGCUUCAUUGACUCGGUUUACACACUGUAACAAAUAUAAUUUUGUAAAAUGAAAAAGUGAAUGUUCCAAGUUAGCUGCUGACUUUUCACACUCUAAUUUAUAUUAUUUAUAGCAUAAAACACGGAACGUGUUUGCGUGAAAUUGCAACGCGUGUGAUUCUCAACGUGUACACAUGCGUUGUGUAAACAUACACAUGGUACAGACAAAAGGGAGAUGCACGUGCGUAUAUACGUGUGCGUGUGCUUCACUUGCGUCAAAGCUGACCCUGAAUGCGUCUCGCGACCGCUUCAGAUUACGCUUGCAUCGUGAAAAAGACAAUUUGAUUUAUUUUUCAUUUUUCUUUUCCUUUUUUUUGUGGUCAUCUGAUAGAGUAACGAGUUUCUAAUCCGGUUAUAUGUAUUUCGAUACAGGAUUGUUUAUCCACGUUAAUGUUCACAUUUGAAUAUAGUUUCGAACGAAAAAACAAACGUUACAUUGGAAAAAAGGAAAUGUUCGAAACGGAGGAAUUAGUAACAGUUAAUGGAACGUGUAAUGUCAUUUGCCGUUAGAUUUACAAAUAUGGAAAUUACGAAGAUAUCAUUAUACCAUUUUAUUCUAAUGGAUAUAAUCAAUUCGACUUUUUGAAUGAAAUUUUAUAUAUAUAUAUGAUUUAAAUAUAUUUGAAUUUUUUACUUUA